CCCGAAACACGUGACCUCCACAGUAGCCGGAAACACGUGACCUCCACAGUAACCGGAAACACGUGACCUCCACAGUAGGCAGAAAUACGUUCCUGCGUGGAUCAUCGACUGUGGAAAUCUUGCAAGUGGAUCCUAAAGAUGCUCAUAUCAAAUUGGAAUUCUGCCUCCAAUCCAGAAUUGCAGGAAUGCACAACAUGUUGCAGAAGACUCUUUCACUGCCCUCUGUGCCCCACUUUCAGCCCUACUGUCAAGGCAAAGAUUGAGGAGCAUAUAAAUGGACACAUUAAAAAUGCUUUGCCUUUCAAAGACACUUUCACUGCCCUGUCUGUAACAUGACAGUCAUACAGCGUUGGGAUAUGGCAAGGCAAAUUUUCUCAUGUCAGCAUUCAGGACUGCUCCCCACUGAACUCUCCGAGGAGCCCCAUCUCCCUCUCGAUGUCUUGUCUCCAGUAUCUAAACCAUUUUCUGAAUCUUCAGUAGAACGUUCAUGUGCUCUACCCUCUGUGCUAAAUGAAACUGUGGCUUGUGGAAAGUCCUUGAAAAUGAAACGCCCUCACUGUGGUCUUAGUCUUCUUAAAAAAAACUUCAAGGCUCUCAUGAUGAGGAGGCAUUCAAGUAGAUGUUUGCCUGGCUUGUCAUCUGCAGUGUUUUUGUGUAGAGGGACUUCUUCCUCUUUGUUUUUCAGUUUGCAGAGGACAUGGAGCUCUUUUUAAAAGCUUGUGCUGAUGAGCAGGGACUACGGGUCAAUGCGAUGUUUGACAUUUAAUGGACAGAUGAAGGCACUGGCUGUUUGUUUGUGUUUUUUAUGUGUUGUUGUUUGUUUUUCAGUGUACAGAA